rnacentral:rRNA from 1 species
UGCGACCCUAGGUCAGGUGGGACUACCCGCUGAGUUUA